rnacentral:rRNA from 1 species
AGAGUUUGAUCCUGGCUCAGGAUGAACGCUGGCGGCGUGCUUAACACAUGCAAGUCGAACGAAGCAUUUGCGACAGAUUUCUUCGGAUUGAAGUUGCUUAUGACUGAGUGGCGGACGGGUGAGUAACGCGUGGGUAACCUGCCUCACACAGGGGGAUAGCAGUUGGCAACGACUGAUAAUACCGCAUAAGCGCACAGUACCGCAUGGUACAGUGUGAAAAACUCCGGUGGUGUGAGAUGGACCCGCGUCUGAUUAGCUUGUUGGCGGGGUAACGGCCCACCAAGGCAACGAUCAGUAGCCGACCUGAGAGGGUGACCGGCCACAUUGGGACUGAGACACGGCCCAGACUCCUACGGGAGGCAGCAGUGGGGAAUAUUGCACAAUGGAGGAAACUCUGAUGCAGCGACGCCGCGUGAGUGAAGAAGUAAUUCGUUAUGUAAAGCUCUAUCAGCAGGGAAGAUAGUGAUGGUACCUGACUAAGAAGCUCCGGCUAAAUACGUGCCAGCAGCCGCGGU